UCGAGAAUAAUUCACAAUGGGCGAAAGCCUGAUGGUGCAACGCCGCGUGGAGGAUGAAGGUCUUCGGAUUGUAAACUCCUGUCAUUGGGGAGUAAGACCUGGCGGUGAAUAGCCGACAGGGUUGAUAGUACCCAAAGAGGAAGGGACGGCUAACUUCGUGCCAGCAGCCGCGGUAAUACGAAGGUCCCGAGCGUUGUUCGGAAUCACUGGGCGUAAAGGGAGCGUAGGCGGCGUGGUAAGUCAGAUGUGAAAUCCCGGGGCUCAACCCCGGAACUGCAUCCGAUACUGCCGUGCUCGAGGGUUGGAGAGGUAGCUGGAAUUAUCGGUGUAGCAGUGAAAUGCGUGGAUAUCGAUAGGAACACUCGUGGCGAAGGCGAGCUACUGGACAACAUCUGACGCUGAGGCUCGAAGGCCAGGGGAGCAAAAG
rnacentral:rRNA from 1 species